UUCCUCCACCUCCUAGUCACCUAACCCAGCAAGAACAAAACACUCAUUCGCCCAUGCACUCAACUCUUCCCGGUCAAACUACCUGAACCCUCAGUUUCCUAUGAGGGUUCCUCCAUUUCCCGCUCAUCCACCUCCACCGGGUUGGAGUAACAAUCAGUCUCAUUCAGUUCCGUCUCACCCAACUCAGGAAGAACAACAUAGUAACACAAUUCCUCAGUCUCACUCUCCGAGUCACCCACCUC
rnacentral:lncRNA from 1 species